rnacentral:rRNA from 1 species
UACGUAGGGGGCUAGCGUUGCUCGGAAUUACUGGGCGUAAAGCGUGCGUAGGUGGUUUGGUAAGUCUGUUGUGAAAGCCCCGGGCUCAACCUGGGAAUGGCAAUGGAUACUGGCAAGCUAGAGUGCGGUAGAGGGUAGUGGAAUUCCCGGUGUAGCGGUGAAAUGCGUAGAGAUCGGGAGGAACACCAGUGGCGAAGGCGGCUACCUGGACCGGCACUGACACUGAGGCACGAAAGCGUGGGGAGCAAACAGG